CUUGAGGAUAUUAAGAUGGAAUGGCAGGAAGAUUCGGAGACCAGUAAGAUACAAAAAAAAUUAGAGGAAGCACCAAGCUCCGUGGCUCAUUACAAUCGGGACUCAAAAGAAUUAUGCUAUAAGGGACGCAUUGUGCUUAUGACAAAUUCUACUUGCAUCUUCAAGAGCAGAUUUUGGAUAAAGUUAUUCCAUAUGUAGGGUACUAAAUUGAAAAGGAGUA
rnacentral:lncRNA from 1 species